rnacentral:rRNA from 1 species
UACGAAGGGGCUAGCGUUGCUCGGAAUCACUGGGCGUAAAGGGUGCGUAGGCGGGUCGUUUAAGUCAGGGGUGAAAUCCUGGAGCUCAACUCCAGAACUGCCUUUGAUACUGAAGAUCUUGAGUUCGGGAGAGGUGAGUGGAACUGCGAGUGUAGAGGUGAAAUUCGUAGAUAUUCGCAAGAACACCAGUGGCGAAGGCGGCUCACUGGCCCGAUACUGACGCUGAGGCACGAAAGCGUGGGGAGCAAACAGGG